CAAUGACCCUGCUCAGAGACUUCUCGUCGAACGAGCUGGACUCAAAAAACUCUACAUCAGAGGGAAAUUCAAGAUGAGUCAAAAUAAUAAUUUUCUGUGGGACAAUGGAAAGAAAAAUGUGAAAGAUUUAGGAGAGUUAAUUUUAAAGAUAUUCAAACCUGGUGCUGUUGUUAUUGUAGUGUUCCCAGAUGAUCUUUAUACCUACACUGGCUUUCAGUUUCAAAAGAAAUUUGAGGAAGUGGUUCAAGCUAAAAAUGAAGGAAUUACAGUCGGGCGAGCAGUGAUAAAUGUUUAUCUAGGUUUGGGUGAACAAAAUCAAAAGAAUCAGGUGGAGAAACUUUUAAAAGAUGAGAUAGAAAAACAAACAAAAGGAAAACAGUGGGACCAUGAAAAGGAGGAAAAAUAUUCUAGCAUUUUUGCUGAGUACAAUUCAAACAAGUUCAGCUUUAGAACAGUUUUUACGCCAUGGAUUAUUUACCUAAAACCUGUAAAUAUAUAUCAGGUGAAGAUCCAGGAGGCAGAUUCAGUGGUUGUUAAGCUGAUGUCUGUUUGCACUUCUGAUCAGAAUGGCUUAAAAGUGGGAGGGUACAAAGAACAGGAUUUAGCUGAUAUUUUGUUGAAGUUGCUGCAUGUUGAUGAUGUAAAAACACACCCAAAGCAAAGAAUCAGAGUUGAACUACCAGAGAAUUGUGGGACAGCAGAGCAAAGAGUAGCAUUUACAGGAGAACUUGUUGAUAAACUGCAGAUGAGAAACCUUAAAGCUUAUGGGAAAGAGCCAGUUGUUCACAUGCAUGUGUAUAGUAGUGAUAUGAUAAAUGAUAUAAAUCAUAUAAAGAAAGCUUACCCAGAUGAUAUUUUUGCAAAAAUAAAAGAUAAAAUCGAAAAUCAAGUCAAUGAUCAAAAUCGCAAGUCUGUAUCAUCUGCUAAAGAACUCUACAUACACCUCCACUGCCAUGGUAUAUUUUCUCACAAUGACGGUACGUUUUGUGGAAAGGGUUCAGAACCACUUGCUGUUACUCUGUCUGAGUUUGUUAUAACUUUGUUUGAAAAUUCUGUAC
rnacentral:lncRNA from 1 species